AGAGUUUGAUCCUGGCUCAGGACGAACGCUUGCGGCGUGCCUAAGAAAUGCAAGUCGAACGGGGUGCAGCAAUGCAUCCAGUGGCGAACGGUCGCGUAACACGUAAGCAACCUGCCUCAAAGUGGGGGAUAACAGUCCGAAAGGACUGCUAAUACCGCAUGUUGUUCCCGGACGGCAUCGUUUGGGAUCCAAAGGAGUAAUUCGCUUUGAGAUGGGCUUGCGGCCUAUCAGGUAGUUGGUGGGGUAACGGCCUACCAAGCCGACGACGGGUAGCUGGUCUGAGAGGACGAUCAGCCGGAUUGGGACUGAGAUACGGGCCAGACUCCUACGGGCAGCAUUAGAAUCUUGCGCAUUGGGGGCACCCUGACGCAGCGACACCGCGU
rnacentral:rRNA from 1 species